AGAGGAAGCACAGCCCUUAAAUAAACUUUUAGAAUGGUCUAUUUUGGUUACUCUUAGCCCACGGCAAUUUGUUAUUCUUUGCAAAGCUAAAAACAUCUGCUCAUUGGACUAUUCAGAUAAGAGUGAAAAAAUGAAGAGCUGAUCUGGCGACAACACAGCCCGUGUUUUGGAAUCUGGGGCGACUAGAUCAGCUCAGGAGAACUGAUGUCACCGGCAGUUUGCUUUACAUUAAACCCUGAAGAACUGGUCACUUAAAAAGUGAUCCUCAGACUUCUAUUCAACUGCAAGCUCAAUUAGCUGAGAAGGAACAACUGCUGACUAUUUACUACAUGCCACUUUCAAGUACCUGACAGGCAUUACCUCCCUUAAUCCUCACUACUUUAAGAGGACUGAGAAUAGUUCCCCAUCAUGGACCGCAUGAAGCAAAAGUUCCUCUCUUACACUUUCAAGCGUCUGCUACCUCACUGUUCUUCAUUGCUCAAAAAUGCUGCUCAAGGCUUCUGAGCUGGCUUCCUCAGAGGAGAUGACAGUUCCCACUGUACAGAGGAUUAAAGUGACACCAGUGUGUGUGCAGACCGCCUGGG